GAUGAACGCGGUGGGUACCCUUAACACACCUACCUCAAACGGCCUCUCCGACGUAAGUGGCGGACGGGUGAGUAUCGCGUGAGAAUCUGGCUUUGGCUCCGGGACAACAACUGGAAACGGUGGCUAAUACCGGCUGUGCCGAGGGGUAAAAUAGAAAUUGCCUGAAGUUGAGCUCGCGUCUGAUUAGCUAGUUGGUGAGGUAAAGGCUCACCAAGCCAGCGAUCAGUAGCUGGUCUGAGAGGAUGACCAGCCACACUGGGACUGAGACACGACCCAGACCCCUACGGGAGGCAGCAGUGGGGAAUUUUCCGCAAUGGGCGAAAGCCUGACGGGGCAAUACCGCGUGAGGGAAGAAGGCUCUUGGGUUGUAAACCUCUUUUCUUAGGGAAGAACAAAAUGACGGUACCUAAGGAAUCAGCAUGGGCUAACUCCGUG
rnacentral:rRNA from 1 species